rnacentral:rRNA from 1 species
AUUGAACGCUGGCGGCAGGCCUAACACAUGCAAGUCGAACGAGUGGCGGACGGGUGAGUAAUGUCUGGGAAACUGCCUGAUGGCGGGGGAUAACUACUGGAAACGGUAGCUAAUACCGCAUACCAUCAGAUGUGCCCAGAUGGGAUUAGCUUGUUGGUGGGGUAACGGCGCACAAAGGCAACGAUCCCUAGCUGGUCUGAGAGGAUGACCAGCCAACCUGGAACUGAGAGAAGGGCCAGACUCCUACGAGAGGCAGCAGUGGGGAAUAUUGCAAAAGGGGCGCAAGCCUGAUGCAGCCAUGCCGCGUGUAGGAAGAAGGUCGGCGGGUUGUAAAGUACUUUCAGCGGGGAGGCGGUACCCGCAGAAGAAGCACCGGCUAACUCCGUGCCAGCAGCCGCGGUAAUAC